rnacentral:lncRNA from 1 species
CUUUCAGCAGCCAUUAACGUACAAAAUAACGAAUUAAGCUAUGGGUACAGGCCCAUUUACCAGACAUUUGACAGGAAUUCAAAAUUUCAUGACGUGGCCAGUCGCUAAAGUCAAGGUAAGACUAAAAUAAACAACAAUGACCUAAAGAAAGAAUAAUCACCCGCCACAACCAAAAAAUGAAAAACGCUGAGUUCGCGGGAAGUAUAGAUCCAUUUUCCCCAGUGCCCCAAACCAAAAUCUCCACAUCUCCGUCACCGAGUCUCCUUACUCAAAAAAUAGAGGAACCCAACAACGACACUCCCCCAUCUCCGGAUAUAUAGAAACUCGAGACCAAUUCUCCAUCAUCUCCGGCAAAGCCGGAGUCUAUUUGCACCAGCAGAACCUAAGGUGAGCUUCUUAAGAUCUGUAGUCGGGCAUUUUUGCUACUUGGUUGGUACACAAAUUGUAGACAUUUUGUAGAUUUUUCGUCCACUUCCCGAGCAUGUAGAUAUUUGGUCCGUUUGAGCUAUUUGGUUGCUAGACAACUUCUACGUCUUUAGCUAUUUUUUGUCAAGCAUUCUAGCUAUUUGGUCCAUUUUCCCCAACAAAACCUAGGAUUCUUUAAUUUGUUUGGAAAGACUUGUAUAAUUUUCUGGUUGUUUGAUUGACACCCCAAGUACCAAGUCUUUGGAUAGAGUUGUAUUAUUAUGUGGUUUUGUGAGUUGAAUUGCAGUAGAAAUAAAUUUGAGAUAUAGAAUACUUUAGUAGAGAAACUGUGAUAUUUUGUCAUAGAAGUUAGGUAGUGUAAAUUUCGGAAUGUGUUUUACUUGAGAACGUAAAUUUUAUCUUAUGCUCUUUUAACAGUUUGUGGCUGUACCAGUACAAAUUCACAUAGUGUAUUAAUGAAUUUUGUGGCAGGAAAGGAGUUUAUGGAAGACGGGAAUCAUGACUCGGGAAACGGUCAAGAAUUUGAAGAAGUUUGGACAUCAACCAGGGUAGUGGUGCUGAAUUUCUUGUUGUUGGCAUGACAUUUUUAGUUAUUUUUAUUUCAAAGGUACUGUUUUUGUUGCUACUAGUCUGGAAUUUAGAUUGGGUGAAUAGAAAUUCAAUGUUGUAGUUUUCCUGAUAUUGGCAUGAAAUUUUGACUUGUUAAGCCAGUUUUUGAAAAAGAAAAUACUGCUAUUUUGUGCUUGUAUCGCAUCAAAUUCGCACAAGUUAAAAGAUAUGUUUACUUUACUGGAAAAAUGUAGUGCUAUUUUGUGUAAAUAUGGACUCCCAAUCAAUCAAAAUUUUCUCAUUUUCAUUUGCACUGCUGAAUUUUAAGAUGGCAUUACAUGCUUUGUGGUAUUAAUUUGGAGUUGUUCAAUGCAGAUUGGAUGCACUCCGUUGCUACUAUAUAUUGGAAGAAUGUAGCUACUCACAACAUGUUCCUCUGUCAUUCGUGGUUCGACGAUGUUUAUUAAUUAUAGAAAUUAGAAGUAUUUCUGUGCUAUUUUAACUUAGUAUGACAUUGAUAUCAUUUCUUUGUCAAAGUAUAAUAGAUAUUUGUUGCUGGAUUUACGUAGAUGUUGGUUGAUGAUUUGUAGCUUUGGUAGGAUGAUGUUUGUCGCUGGAAUUAUGUACAUUUUGAUUAAUGUCAACCUCUUUGGCAGGAUCAUUGUUGGCAGAUUUAUGUACAUUUUGAUUAAUGUUAACCUCUUUGGUAGGAUGAUAUUUGUUGGCGGAUUUAUGUACAUUUUCUUUGACCCAGCAAUAGACAAGGGCGAUCGAGG